UGCAAGUCGAACGGUAACAGGAAGAAGCUUGCUUCUUUGCUGACGAGUGGCGGACGGGUGAGUAAUGUCUGGGAAACUGCCUGAUGGAGGGGGAUAACUACUGGAAACGGUAGCUAAUACCGCAUAACGUCGCAAGACCAAAGAGGGGGACCUUCGGGCCUCUUGCCAUCGGAUGUGCCCAGAUGGGAUUAGCUAGUAGGUGGGGUAACGGCUCACCUAGGCGACGAUCCCUAGCUGGUCUGAGAGGAUGACCAGCCACACUGGAACUGAGACACGGUCCAGACUCCUACGGGAGGCAGCAGUGGGGAAUAUUGCACAAUGGGCGCAAGCCUGAUGCAGCCAUGCCGCGUGUAUGAAGAAGGCCUUCGGGUUGUAAAGUACUUUCAGCGGGGAGGAAGGGAGUAAAGUUAAUACCUUUGCUCAUUGACGUUACCCGCAGAAGAAGCACCGGCUAACUCCGUGCCAGCAGCCGCGGUAAUACGGAGGGUGCAAGCGUUAAUCGGAAUUACUGGGCGUAAAGCGCACGCAGGCGG
rnacentral:rRNA from 1 species